AGAAAACAAAUCUUUCUGUAUCACUGUCUGACUUCUGAAAGAUGAGAAAAAUAAAUUAAUUUCCCUGUGUGCUUGGGAUUCACUGCCUUUCCUCCUGAUGAAAUUCACAGGAUACAGAUUUCCCUCCAGUGACGUAAGGAGAAUCUUUCUGAUCUUUCUGUGUGCUCCAGCCAGACUACAUCACUUUAAUUUUUAUUUUGGGUGGGGGGCUUUUGCAAACCUGCCAGAAGUUUUGCCCAGUAACUGCAACUGGUUAAUUGCCAUAAGCAUGGGAAGAUCUCAAGAGAAAAGAUGAGGUAAACGCUUUUCUACCCUCAGCGGCACCAUGGCUCUUCCUUUGGUCUAAACGUCUCUCCACCUUACACUGCCAUCAUCUGACAGAGGAUCUAGAGAGAAUAAAAACACUGCUAAACGAAAAGUUGUUUAUGUGACAAGAGAAAGAAAACGGCCUCAGAGGAACAUUAGCGCUUUCUGAUGCUGCCACUGCAAGACACCAUAGGACAGUGUGCACAGCACAGUGCAGGGCAAUAAGAACCAGAAAAUGUUGGGCAAGAAGGAACCUCUUGACAGUGUCACAUAAUACAAAGAGAUACCACCCUCCAACCCUACCAUGGAUUCUUUUACUGUAAAAUAAACUUGGAUUUGUGUCUAACAAUCAAUCUUGGAAAUUAAAGUCCAUAUACAUGCGAGAGAGGACUGUACACCUCCCCAUCAAUAUGCCAUACAACGGAAAGGAAAAGCCAUGCUGUGGGGAUGAUUUUCAAUACACGUUGAAGGCUUCCAGCACUUCUUACAACCAGUUAUCGUACCAUACAUAUCCAUCAUACCCUUAUGCAAGGUACCACUCAGCCUCGCUGCAUCCGUCAAAGGGAUCUUUGUUGCAAAAUUCAGAUCUUAUUAAUUCCUGCACAGCACAAGAAGACAUGGAUAUCUCUUUUCAGUGGAGAUAUAAUUAAAAGACACAUAAUUACUGUUAGAAAAUAUUUCAAGGAAACAUUAGUGUUUCAGUAGGUGAUGUUUGUUUAUAGGUAAUAUUCUGAGCAGUCUUCUAGGCUCCCCUAAGAUUAAAUCAAAACAGUUCACCAGUAAAAAGAUGCCUCCAUUUUUCAGCUGAGCAUCUGAUAUCUUUGCAAUUUCACACAACACUGAAAAAUUUUUUGUUAAUGCUUUAAACCUAAUUAUAGGUUUGAAUAUAGUUUCUAUGCAUUGAGGUCAGUACAAACCUGAUAAAAUCCUCACUAAAGGGAAGAACAUCUGAUUAAGUCAUAUUGAACUCACUUAUUAGAUGAACGGGAGGCAUUGCAAAGUGUUCACUCAGAAAGAAAUAUUUUAUUUCUGUAGAUUUUCUUGUGGAAAGUUUUUUGCUCUUACAUCUUUAUCAACAAACCUCUCUGGAUAUGCUAGAACAGCUCUUUGAGUGGAAACACAUUUUCUAGAAUGAGUUACUUUUUCAUUUAUUCCAACAGAAAAAGAACUAUCUUCUUCUAGAAUAUAAGGAUUAACAUGAACAGCCACAGCUGCCAAAAUUCAUACCUACUCUAACACCAGUAUUAUUCCAAAUGGAGAAGUACUACAUUUCUUUCCUAAUGCAUUUCUUUUGUAACACUUGGAGGAGACAGUUGAUAAAGAGCAAGCUUGGCAACCUACAGUUGUGUGGUACCUUUUGCAGGAAUACAUCCACUAGCCCCAGCAUCACGGCUACACUGUUUGCACAAUAACUUUCUGCCUAUCCCAAUUCCUAUUUCAAUUACAACUGUAUGAGAGAGAUUCUUAGUGUUUUCUCUACUGUUAAACAGCUGCUGCAUUUCAGUGUUGGUGAAAUAGUUUUCAGUUUUUUUAAUGAAAGUGCUUUGGGAUGUCUCUAGCUGAAAGAUGGCAUAGAAAUGCAAAUUAUACUUAGUCAUAUAACUCGGAAUUACCUUUGCAUUUUAUUUUUGACCUGUAUCUGUUUAUAAAGCAAUCCUGAAAAACAGUUACAUUAUCCCUUACAUUAUUGGGAAAACAAGAGAUAGGACUGCCAGCUCUUACAUGAAUGUUGUAAUCCAAUGAACGUUCACGCUGAAAAGUAUCUCCUUUAGUGAAUUUUUUGACAAAACAAUCUAAUUUCAUUUAUAAACUUAGAUAAUAAACCCCAACAUAUUCAUAUCGAAAGCA
rnacentral:lncRNA from 1 species